rnacentral:rRNA from 1 species
GAUGAACGCUGGCGGCGUGCCUAAUACAUGCAAGUCGAGCGAACGGACGAGAAUCUUGCUUCUCUGAUGUUAGCCGCGGACGGGUGUGUCACACGUGGAUAACCUACCUAUAUGACUGGGAUCACUUCGGGAAACCGGAUCUAAUACCGGAUAAUCUUUUGAUCCGCAUGGUUCAAUAGUGAAAGACGGCCUUGCUGUCUCUUAUAGAUGGAUCCGCGCUGCUUUAGCUAGUUGGUACGGUAACGGCUUACCAAGGCAACGAUGCAUAGCCGACCGGAGAGGGUGGUCGGCCGCACUGGAAGUGAGACACGGUCCAGACUCCUACGGGAGGCAGCAGUAGGGAAUCUUCCGCAAUGGGCGAGAGCCUGACGGAGAAACGCCGAGUGAGUGGUGAAGGUCUUCGGAUCGUAAAACUCUGUUAUUAGGGAAGAACAUAUGUGUAAGUAACUGUGCACAGCUUGACGGUACCUAAUAAGAAAGCCACGGCUAACUACGUG